UACAGAGGGUGCUAGCGUUGUUCGGAAUUACUGGGCGGAAAGCGUGCGCAGGCGGUUUUGUAAGGCAGAUGUGAAAUCCCCGGGCUUAACCUGGGAAUGGCAUUUGGGACUGCAAGGCUGGAGUGCGGCAGAGGAGACUGGAAUUCCUGGUGUAGCAGUGAAAUGCGUAGAUAUCAGGAGGAACACCGAUGGCGAAGGCAGGUCUCUGGGCUGACACUGACGCUCAUGCACGAAAGCGUGGGGAGCAAACAGG
rnacentral:rRNA from 1 species